UCCACUUCUUCCCAGACCUCACUGAAGGGUUGGUAGGGGAGGCAAGGGUAUCUUGCUGGAGAUCCCUACAUAUCUGAGGCCUUCUGAAGUUACAUAGUCAUUGAGCAUCUCAAUCAUUCAUCAUGAGAAUAGCAAUGUCAUGAAAAUACCCAUCAGCAGUAUUACGGUUAUUACGGCUGUGCUCUCCGUAUACAAAUGAAGAGGAAUUACCUUUAUUGUGAAAAGAUCUAUUCUUCUGUCCCCAAGCCCUGGUGUUUGUAUUUCUGUGCAUUGAAGUGAAAGCAUUUCUUGGAAUGUAUUUCGAUUUUUCCUUCUGUUGUCUUUGGUGUCCGAUGCACAAUUGUCUUCCCCUCAAAUGUUAAUAUUAUCUUGUUUUGU